GAUGAACGCUAGCGGGAGGCCUAACACAUGCAAGCCGAGCGGUAUUGUUUCUUCGGAAAUGAGAGAGCGGCGUACGGGUGCGUAACACGUGUGCAACCUGCCUUUAUCUGGGGGAUAGCCUUUCGAAAGGAAGAUUAAUACUCCAUAAUAUAUUGAACGGCAUCGUUUAAUAUUGAAAGCUCCGGCGGAUAGAGAUGGGCACGCGCAAGAUUAGCUAGUUGGUGAGGUAACGGCUCACCAAGGCGAUGACCUUUAGGGGGCCUGAGAGGGUGCUCACCCACACUGGUUCUGAGACACGGACCAGACUCCUACGGGGGGCAGCAGUGAGGAAUAUAGGUCAAUGGGUGCAAGCCUGAACCAGCCAUCCCGCGGGAAGGACAACUGCCCUAUGGGUUGUAAACUUCUUUUGUAUAGGGAUAAACCUACCCUCGUGAGGGUAGCUGAAGGUACUAUACGAAUAAGCACCGGCUAACUCCGUGCCAGCCGCCGCCGUAA
rnacentral:rRNA from 1 species